CAUUACCCACCGCCAGGCGGGAUCAAUCACUGACU
rnacentral:rRNA from 1 species